rnacentral:rRNA from 1 species
GAUCAUGGCUCAGGAUGAACGCUAGCUACAGGCUUAACACAUGCAAGUCGAGGGGAAACGACAUCGAAAGCUUGCUUUUGAUGGGCGUCGACCGGCGCACGGGUGAGUAACGCGUAUCCAACCUGCCCACCACUUGGGGAUAACCUUGCGAAAGUAAGACUAAUACCCAAUGAUAUCUCUAGAAGACAUCUGAAAGAGAUUAAAGAUUUAUCGGUGAUGGAUGGGGAUGUGU